UCAUAUGCUUGUCUCAAAGAUUAAGCCAUGCAUGUCUAAGUGCAUGCCGCAUUAAGGUGAAACCGCGAAUGGCUCAUUAAAUCAGUUAUGGUUCCUUAGAUCGUACCAUCCUACUUGGAUAACUGUGGUAAUUCUAGAGCUAAUACAUGCCGACAAGCUCCGACCCUCGUGGGACGAGCGCUUUUAUUAGAACAAGACCAAUACGGAUCAGCAAUGGUCCGUCUCCUUUUGGUGACUCUGGAUAACUUGAAGCCGAUCGCACGGUCCUCGCACCGGCGACGCAUCUUUCAAAUGUCUGACUUAUCAACUGUCGAUGGUAGGUUAUGCGCCUACCAUGGUUGUAACGGGUAACGGGGAAUCAGGGUUCGAUUCCGGAGAGGGAGCCUGAGAAACGGCUACCACAUCCAAGGAAGGCAGCAGGCACGCAAAUUACCCACUCCCGGCACGGGGAGGUAGUGACGAAAAAUAACAAUACGAGACUCUUCCGAGGCCUCGUAAUUGGAAUGAGUACACUUUAAAACCUUUAACGAGGAUCUAUUGGAGGGCAAGUCUGGUGCCAGCAGCCGCGGUAAUUCCAGCUCCAAUAGCGUAUAUUAAAGUUGUUGCGGUUAAAAAGCUCGUAGUUGGAUCUCGGUGCCGGACCGGCGGUCCGCCUCGUCGCGGUACACUGCCGGCCCCGGAGCCAUCCCGCCGGCCGUCCCUCGGUGCUCUUUACUGAGUGUCUUGGGUGACCGGAACGUUUACUUUGAACAAAUUAGAGUGCUCAAAGCAGGCGCGAACCGCCCGCAUAGCCCAGCAUGGAAUAAUGGAAUAGGACCUCGGUUCUAUUUUGUUGGUUUUCGGAACCCGAGGUAAUGAUUAAUAGGGACAGACGGGGGCAUUCGUAUUGCGACGCUAGAGGUGAAAUUCUUGGACCGUCGCAAGACGAACUACUGCGAAAGCAUUUGCCAAGAAUGUUUUCAUUAAUCAAGAACGAAAGUUAGAGGUUCGAAGGCGAUCAGAUACCGCCCUAGUUCUAACCAUAAACGAUGCCGACCAGCGAUCCGCCGGAGUUCCUCCGAUGACUCGGCGGGCAGCUUCCGGGAAACCAAAGUGUUUGGGUUCCGGGGGAAGUAUGGUUGCAAAGCUGAAACUUAAAGGAAUUGACGGAAGGGCACCACCAGGAGUGGAGCCUGCGGCUUAAUUUGACUCAACACGGGGAAACUCACCCGGCCCGGACACCGGAAGGAUUGACAGAUUGAGAGCUCUUUCUUGAUUCGGUGGGUGGUGGUGCAUGGCCGUUCUUAGUUGGUGGAGCGAUUUGUCUGGUUAAUUCCGAUAACGAACGAGAC
rnacentral:rRNA from 1 species